UACAGAGGGGGCAAGCGUUGUUCGGAAUUACUGGGCGUAAAGGGCGCGUAGGCGGCCUUCUAAGUCGAACGUGAAAUCCCCGGGCUCAACCCGGGAACUGCGUCCGAUACUGGAAGGCUUGAAUCCGGGAGAGGGAUGCGGAAUUCCAGGUGUAGCGGUGAAAUGCGUAGAUAUCUGGAGGAACACCGGUGGCGAAGGCGGCAUCCUGGACCGGUAUUGACGCUGAGGCGCGAAAGCCAGGGGAGCAAAGCGGGAUUAAGAUGACCC
rnacentral:rRNA from 1 species